CUACAGUGAUGAGCUUCCACUUCGGUCCGUGUUUAUGAGUACCAUGAUUUUUUUGAAGUUCUGAGUCA
ensembl:snoRNA SNORD18 Small nucleolar RNA SNORD18